rnacentral:rRNA from 1 species
AUUGAACGCUGGCGGCAGGCUUAACACAUGCAUGUCGAGCGGGGGAAGGUAGCUUGCUACCGGACCUAGCGGCGGACGGGUGAGUAAUGCUUAGGAAUCUGCCUAUUAGUGGGGGACAACAUCUCGAAAGGGAUGCUAAUACCGCAUACGUCCUACGGGAGAAAGCAGGGGAUCUUCGGACCUUGCGCUAAUAGAUGAGCAUAAGUCGGAUGAGCUAGUUGGUGGGGUAAAGGCCUACCAAGGCGACGAUCUGUAGCGGGUCUGAGAGGAUGAUCCGCCACACUGGGACUGAGACACGGCCCAGACUCCGACGGGAGGCAGCAGUGGGGAAUAUUGGACAAUGGGGGGAACCCUGAUCCAGCCAUGCCGCGUGUGUGAAGAAGGCCUUAUGGUUGUAAAGCACUUUAAGCGAGGAGGAGGCUACUUUAGUUAAUACCUAGAGAUAGUGGACGUUACUCGCAGAAUAAGCACCGGCUAACUCUGUGCCAGCAGCCGCCGUAA